rnacentral:sRNA from 1 species
UGUAGUGUGAGGAGUAAGUUGAAAACAAAAAGCGCUUGAAGUCGAAACACGGCCAGACGUUCAAGCGCUUUUUGCU